UGGAUCUCUGGCACUGGACCAAUCCAAUGCAGUCCAAAGCGAAACGAAACCCGAACAGAGCAAGUUCAAUGCCAUUAGGCAAACUGCCACUGAAAACAUUUCCACCAACUAUUCUCCGACUGUCCAUAAAAGUGGUUAAAUAUGUAUAAACACAGAAACACUUCACAUAUCUGCCGGCGAAUACGAAAAUAUUUAUUGCGUAGGAACACAGGGACACAGCGGCACUUCGAAUUGCGAUUCGCAUGGGAUUGGAAAUCGAGGGGGGAAAUGGGGAUGGGAGUUGUCUCGAUGACUGCUGAUGAGGGGCCAAGUUUAAUGGUUGCAGAAGAAAAACUUGAAGAUGAGAUUGCACUCGGAAUUGGACGAGGCAAGGCGGGCCAGGUAUCCCCAACCAGAUGCAAAUAAAUGGAGGCAAGGAAAAAUAUUCCAAAUACUUCAAUCAAAGUUGUUUAGAUAAUGAGGCAUCUAUUGCAAUGGCAGGGAACAGAAAAUCCACAAGAACGUGGGACUUGAAAUCCACAUAAUACAGUGCAGAUACUUCGAAAUUGAAUAGAGACUAUCUCAGCCAGCCGCAAAUUGUAAACAAUAUUUUUGAAAACUUUUACCGACGUCGUAAAAAAUAGUCUAAAACCCAUUGCAAAUUCCCCACUUUGCUCAGCGGAAUAGCGGAAAACACUUCAGGUCCCACCUUGUUUAUAUGGCAAGCAUUUUCCCUUAAAGCUACGUUUUAUUUUCAAGUCGUAAACGUCUAUACGACCUGCAGCGCCAAUGGAUUUUCAAUAAACGGUUCUGUUUUCAUACCGCCCAUAAAAAGUUAAA